GAUGAACGCUGGCGGCGUGCUUAACACAUGCAAGUCGAACGGAAAGGCGCUGCUUAUGUGGGGUGCGCGAGUGGCGAACGGGUGUGUCACAUGUGAGUAUCGUGUCCCAGACAUUGGGAUCACUUCAGAAAACAUGCGCUAAUACCAGAUAGUAGUACUUGCUGCUCGGAGGGGUUUGGAAAGUUUAGGCGGUUGGGGAUGGACUCGCGGCUUAUCAGCUUGUUGGUGGGGUAGCGGCUUACCAAGGCUUUGACGGGUAGCCGGCCUGAGAGGGUGACCGGCCAAAUUGGGACUGGGAUAACGCCCAGAAUCCUAACGGAGGCAAGAGGGGGGAAUAUUGCACAAUGGGCGGAAGCGUGUGGCAGCAACACCCCGUGCGGGAUGUCGGCCUUCGGGUUGUAAACAGCUUUUGCAUUUGACAAGGCGUGAGUGACGGUAAUGGGAGAAGAAGCGACGGCUAAAUACGUG
rnacentral:rRNA from 1 species